rnacentral:rRNA from 1 species
UACGUAGGGAGCAAGCGUUGUCCGGAAUCAUUGGGCGUAAAGCGCGCGUAGGCGGCUCGAUCAGUCUGUUGUGAAAGUCAAAGGCUCAACCUUUGAAUGCCGAUGGAUACUGUCGAGCUAGAGUCUGGAAGAGGCGGUGGAAUUCCUGGUGUAGCGGUGGAAUGCGCAGAUAUCAGGAGGAACACCAACGGCGAAGGCAGCCCGCUGGGACGGUACUGACGCUAAGGCGCGAAAGCGUGGGUAGCAAACAGG